UACAGAGGGUGCAAGCGUUGCUCGGAUUUACUGGGCGUAAAGCGUACGCAGACGGUGAGAAAGGUCGGAUGUGAAAGCCCCGGGCUCAACCCGGGAACUGCAUCCGAAACCAUCUCGCUAGAGUAUGAGAGAGGGAAGCAGAAUUCCUGGUGUAGAGGUGAAAUUCGUAGAUAUCAGGAGGAAUACCUGCGGCGAAGGCG
rnacentral:rRNA from 1 species